AAUAGUUUUAUGCCACAUCAAUAUUGUUAUCCUGAAUUUUAGGAUUUUAUCCUGAAAAAAAUCAAAUCCAAAUUAAAAUACUGAAAUUCAGGAUAAGAAUACUGAUGUGGCAUAAAACUAUU
rfam:Gossypium hirsutum cultivar TM-1 chromosome 12, whole genome shotgun sequence